rnacentral:tmRNA from 1 species
GGGGGCGUUUAUGGAUUCGACGGGGAUAGUACGAGCAUGGGUUGCGGGUAGUGGGGACGCGUCCGCUUUAUCAACGCUAAAGCCUAUUAAAUGGCAACCAACGUACAACUUUAGCAGCAGCCUAAGAAACUGUAUGCUAAGCUCCUCCCUUGCAUCGCCCAUGUGCCAGGUGUAGGGGCUCACACUUAGUGGGAUACGCUGUCUCAUCUCCGCCUGCGGUGAGCUGAAGAAGACAAACAGGCUGACCUUAGCGAUAGCCGGUUACGGGGCGCUUGCUAAGGUGACAUCAAAACUGUGACUACACCCGUAGAAGCACAUGUGGCGUGAUCUUCGGACAGGGGUUCAAAUCCCCUCGCCUCCACCA